AGGGUUUGAUCAUGGCUCAGAAUGAACGUUGGCGGCGUGGAUUAGGCAUGCAAGUCGAGCGAGAAGUUUACUUCGGUAAAUGGACAGCGGCGAAAGGGACAGUAAUGUGUAGGUACCUACCCCCCGAUCUGGGAUAGCUGCGGGAAACUGCAGGUAAUACCGGAUAAUGUCUUCGGACCAAAGGUGUGAUUCCGUCAGGGGAGGGGCCUGCAUCCUAUUAGCUUGUUGGUGAGGUAAUGGCUCACCAAGGCAACGAUGGGUAGCGGGUGUGAGAGCAUGACCCGCGUCAUUGGGACUGAGACACUGCCCAGACAUCUACGGAUGGCUGCAGUCGAGAAUCUUCGGCAAUGGGCGAAAGCCUGACCGAGCGACGCCGCGUGCGGGAUGAAGGCCCUCGGGUUGUAAACCGCUGUCGUUGGGGAGGAAAUGCAAAAGGGUUAUCCCUUCUGUUUGACCGAUCCAAGGAGGAAGUACGGGCUAAGUUCGUGCCAGCAGCCGCGGUAAGACGAACCGUACGAACGUUAUUCGGAAUUACUGGGCUUAAAGGGUGCGUAGGCUGCACGGAAAGUUGGGUGUGAAAGCCCUCAGCUCAACUGAGGAAUUGCAUCCAAAACUGCCGUGCUAGAGGGAGACAGAGGUGAGCGGAACUCAAGGUGGAGCGGUGAAAUGCGUUGAUAUCUUGAGGAACACCGGUGGCGAAAGCGGCUCACUGGGUCUCUUCUGACGCUGAGGCACGAAAGCUAAGGUAGCAAACGGGAUUAGAUACCCCGGUAGUCUUAGCUGU
rnacentral:rRNA from 1 species